rnacentral:lncRNA from 1 species
UCAACCCCCUCCAUUCAUCGUCUCCAAGCUUGAAGACCUAAACCCUAGCGCCGCCCUCAUAUCCUCUCCGUCAUCUCUGCCGGCGGCGGGCCCCAAACCACCUCAAACUAACACCCUAGAGCCCCCUCACUCCCCUCUUUCCAAAUCCACACUCCAUUACCCUCGAAUCUGCCCAUAACCCCUCGAAUCUUAGAUCCAAAUUCAAGCCUUAAAAGUUCAAAACCAGUUGUGGUCGAAUCUGGUGGCAUGCAUCGACCCAAGAGUGCUUUUCUCAUGUUUGGAAGGUUGACUCACUACAAAGCUGAUGCUAGUCGUUCUUUCUUGACAGAGAAAAGCGACUGGUAUCAGUUUCAUAUGAGUCAAGAUAUCGAGUGUCAUUUCGAGUUUAGCCGGUAAGUUUCAUUCCAGUUUUGGGUCUGUUUCUGGUUUCAUUUUCACUUAUUGCCCCUCUUCUUUCUUUUCUUUUUCCUUAUUUGAAAUUUAACCAAAUUUUCGGCCAAGUUUGAGAUUUGUCAGUUUGGUUUUCGCUGGUUUUCCUUUUAUUCUUUUUGUUUCCAAGUCCGUUUUCCGGUCCUUCUUGAUUUGUUUGGUUUCUUUUGAUUAACUAGCAUGGUUAUUGUUCCAAUUAGUCGCCUAGUCAAUUUAAUUAGGGUUAUUUUGAUAACUUGGUUAAUUUCUUGCUCAUUUGUGUAAUUAGUUGAUUGGUAUAGGCUUAAUUCUCGGAAUUUUUAAAGUAUUUGCCCUUUGUUAGUUGUCUGAUUUGAUUCAAUCUAUCUGUGUUUGGGCUUUGAAGCCAUUACAUACCUCACCCCAAUGGGGGUUUGAUUUGGGUCAUUGGGUCAGAAUUGAGCCCACUUUUGGUUUCAUUAUCGGGUCAACUUGACCCAUUGGGUUUCAGGGGUAAUAACAGGGUUUUAAAGGGGUAGUCUAGGUAAUUAGCAUAGGGAAUCUAGGUGUAACAACCUUAGGAAGCUUCAUAGAAGGGAGGCUAAAAUGAAAAUUUCAGAAGGUGCAAUGUGUAAACCUGAUUUUCUUUAGGCUGCCCUAGUAACUUGCCUAUAAAGGCAUCUUAACUUGACACUCAAGUCAGAAAAAUGGAGACAAAAUCUAGAGAAAACAAAAACCGCUGAAAAUUUCAAUAAAAUCACUGUUUCAUUGAACUUCUUCUGUAAUUUUUGAAGUUUUCAAUUUCUGAAACAAUUUCUGAUUCAUCUCGGGUGGAAAUGGAUUGAAUUUGGAUUUGUAAAAGUUUGGUUUGAAGUUUGUUGUGUUACUGUUCGAUUGAACUGUGUUUUUAGACUACUGCACAUCAUGUUUCUGGUUUGAAAUUGGUUUUACUUUUUAUUUCCUGCUGCUGAAGUUCUGGUUCUGCUGCUGUCUACUGCUUUCCUCACUUCUUUUCCUUUCAAUUUCCAGGUAAAUCUGUAAACUAUGAAGGACAAGUGAUUGUAGAGUUGCAUUGUCGAGUGGAAAUUGAUUGAACAUGAAAUUGUUUGAACUUUGAUGCUCUGUUUCUUCUAUUUAUGUAUUAUUUCUGUAGGGAUUCUGAAAUUACACAUGUUAUUUCAGUUUUCUUUCCCCAUGCUUUAAUAUUUUGUAAAGACAAAUUAGUGAUAUUUGAAGGUGAGAGUAAAUGUUUGGGUUUAAAGUGAAUGUAAUGCUCAGGAGUUGAACAUAAGGACCGAUUAUAGUAAACUUAUGAUCAGUUGUGUUUUAAGUGUCGAUCUUAGUUUUUUGAAUGAAUUUAGUAUAUGAUAUAGUAUUUCAAUAUGCUGCUUUGGUUCCACAAGUUUACUGUGAGAAAUUGAUUUUAUUGAUUUGAAGAGAAAUGUUUGAUCCUUGGUCUUUCAUUAUUAGCUCAAUACAUUGGGA